GUGCCAGCAGCCGCGGUAAUACGUAGGUGGCAAGCGUUGUCCGGAUUUACUGGGCGUAAAGCAUGCGUAGGCGGUUAUUUAAGUGUGAUGUGAAAUCCCCGGGCUCAACUUGGGGGUUGCAUUUCAAACUGGAUGUCUAGAGUGCAGGAGAGGAAAGCAGAAUUCCUAGUGUAGCGGUGAAAUGCGUAGAGAUUAGGAGGAAUACCAGUGGCGAAGGCGACUUCCUGG
rnacentral:rRNA from 1 species